AGGUGCCUGGGCGGGGCGCGCCGCGGUUGGCGCCCGGGUGGCUGGGCGGCUGCCUAGUACCCGGAAGAGCAGUCAACUUCGCGAGGCGCAACAGGCUGCUGCUGAGGGGCUGGAGCCGGUGGGUACUGGGCCGCAAUGGACAAGCUGAAGAAGGUGCUGAGCGGGGAGGACACGGAGGACCGGAGCGGCCUGUCCGAGGUUGUUGAGGCAUCUUCAUUAAGCUGGGGGACCAGGAUAAAAGGCUUCAUUGCGUGUUUUGCUAUAGGAAUUCUCUGCUCAGUGCUGGGUACUCUUCUGCUGUGGGUGCCCAGGAAGGGAUUACACCUCUUCGCAGUGUUUUAUACUUUUGGUAAUAUCGCAUCAAUUGGGAGUACCAUCUUCCUCAUGGGACCAGUGAAACAGCUGAAGCGAAUGUUUGAGCCUACACGUUUGAUUGCAACUAUCAUGGUGCUGUUGUGUUUUGCACUUACCCUGUGUUCUGCCUUUUGGUGGCAUAACAAGGGACUUGCACUUAUCUUCUGCAUUUUGCAGUCUUUGGCACUGACAUGGUAUAGCCUUUCCUUCAUACCAUUUGCAAGGGAUGCUGUGAAGAAGUGUUUUGCCGUGUGUCUUGCAUAAUUCAUGGCCAGUUUUGUGAAGCUUUGGAAGGCACUAUGGACAGAAGCUGGUGGACAGUUUUGUAACUAUCUUCGAAACCUCUGUCUUACAGACAUGUGCCUUUUAUCUUGCAGCAAUGUGUUGCUUGUGAUUUGAACAUUUGAGUGUUACUUUUGGAAGCAACAAUACAUUCUUGAACCUGAAUGUCAGUAGCACAGGAUGAGAAGUGGGUUCUAUAUCUUGUGGAGUGGAAUCUUCCUCAUGUACCUGUUUCCUCUCUGGAUGUUGUCCCACUGAAUUCCCCAUGAAUACAAACCUGUUCAGCAGCAGCAGCAGAUAACCCUUGGCUGCAAGUGAUUCCCAGGUGGCAAAAGGUAGCCCUAUCAGAGAUCACAGGGGAGCAACAGUAAGGGACAGAGUUUUGGGGUCCAGUUGUCCCUCAGCUUGGAAACCAUCACCACUGUCCUGCAUAGAGUGAGUCUGCUUCUACUCUGGCAUCUAAGAACAAGUGACUCUGCUUUACACAAGCCCCUGAAGAGCCUGGCCAUGGAGUGAGAUGGGAAUGUGGUACUCAGCCAGCCAUGUGGAAGCACUGUCUUGGCGUGAUCUGCCCUGGGCUGUUGGCUCUCUGAAUGCUGUCUUGGGAGGAGCACUGCCCUUCAGACCAGAAGAGAUGGCUUCCAGUCCCCUCUCCCUCUUGUCCCAGUCUCUCUGAGGCUGCUUGUUGGGUAUUGGACAUGCUGUGUACUAACUCACUCCCAUCUCUUGUCUCAUUAUCUGAAAUGCAUCCGCGUUUGCAGAAUGGGCUCCAAGGGAGCCUUCAGUUCUGCUCCUCCAAUAGCCGUAGCUCAGACCCCAGCUCAAGAUAUCUUGUCUCUGGAAAGGGCAAAACGUUGUCCCCAGUGUAGCAUUUUCACUGGGUUGAUUAUCUCAGUGCUGGAUCAUCUGUCUAUCACCCUUGUGUGGUGACUUUGUGAAUUAUCUGCCUGAGUGCCACCUCCCAUCCACCCUAAUCACUGCAUGCUCAGGGAGCAAUAAAUAAAAUCAUGAAAUGCAUUCCAAAUAAAAUCACUUUUUGGCUGGGUGCAGUGGCUCACACUCCCAAAGUAAUCCCAGCACUUUGGGAGACUGAGGUGGGUGGAUCGCUUGAGGCCAGGAGUUCAAGAGCAGCCUGGCCAACAUGGCGAAACCCCAUUUCUACAAAAAACAGCAAAAAAAUCAGCCAGGGUAACUGGUGUGUGCCUAUAAUCCCACCUACUUGGGAGGGAGGCUGAGGCACAAGAAUUGCUUGAACCCAGGAGGUGGAAGUUCAUUGAGCCGAGAUCAUGGCCCUGCACUACAGCCUGAGCAACAGAGCAAGACUCUGUCUCAAAAAUAAAUAAAUAAAUAAAAAAUCACGUUUUGAUACUUCUGUUAAAAUAGAUAAUAAGGGAUCAUAUCUUAAAGUUUGGAGGAUCUGGCUUGGCUUCAGUUUUCCCUAUGAAAGUGACAGAUGUUGCAUCAUGAGACUUAGUGGAAUGAAUUGGGAAAUUGAAGGGCAGCCCCAUGGCUGUGGAUUCUAUUUUCUAUGGGACUGUUUACACCAGGCUUUGUUUAUUUUCUCUUUGCUCAGAUAACUUCUGACUAAAGUCGACUGUAGGAUUAUAAAUAGUUUAAAAUACCUAUUCUCAAACCUCAUUUUCAGCAUAUAAAUUUUUAAGAAUCAGUGUUUAAAGAUACAUGAAGCUAUUUGCUAGAUUUUUGUUCUAGUUUUUUUUUAAUUAAAAAAUCUUAAGUUUUUUUUAGUAAGCUUAAGAUGUCCAGUAGUUUAUUUGCAGGCAGCAUUUUUAAAAAGUGAAUAGAUGUUUAGCUGAAGUUAAUUAUAGAUUUACGACUGUGUAACUCUUGGUAAGAUAUAACAAAACCUAGACAUCUAAAGUUUUUGGAAAUUUUUAUUUUAAAAGUUGGUUGGGAGGUAAAAUUGUGUGACUUUACCUUGGGUUGAUAGUUUUAUAGUUAAGAAGAAAGUCUGGUGAAGUUUACUUGAUCUCAGUUCGUUCAAGAAUAGGGUAUUUAGUUCCACUUUGGUUAUUUUCACUUCUACCCUAAAUUCAUAAUCCCUGUUACUUAAGCUUUACCCUUACCAGUUUUUGUAGCAGCGAGAUAAAUGGGGAGUAGCAGUGCCUUUGUUAAUGUAAAUUGACAAAAAAUUAUGUCCUUUUCUAGCAGGAGUAGAUAAACUGAUAAUGGGCUAAGAAAUGUACAAAAUGAUUUUCUGUAGACAGGAUGAUCUGUAACCAUGAGUCCACUAGACAGGAGAAACUUUGCUGUUUAAAAUGAAAGGUUAUUCAGGAUUUGGAAUAAUUUGCUAAAAAAAGUAAAAUUAAAGGUCAGUUCAUAGCAUUGUAGCAAAUGAUGGUACAUAUUCACAACAAAGUAAUGCGACUACCUUUAAUAAAUAGCCACAAACAACAAAAGGACAGCUGGUGCCUGAUAUGUACUGGCUACCUGGACGUAAUAUCCUUGUAAGGCAUCCUUAAAGGACAAAUUGCAGCUGGUAUUUGGGUGAAUGUUGCUCUGUGCCUGUUGAAUGUCCAUGCUACAAGAAGUUAUGAGCCUUGUUCUAAGUACAAAUGAACCUUGUAUCUGUUUAAUCUCCUAAGGGAGAGCUAUAGUUUACAUUCAAUUUUUUGGUCUUUCUGCUAUGAAAGGUAUUUAUUUUGCCUUUGUCAAUGUGUUUGCAACCUUAAAUAAGGAAAGGGAAAAAAAUAGCCCUCUGAACUCUGAUCUUUUGCUGCUUCUGUAAAUUUUGAUUAUGAAGUUGGGAGUGAGGACAUUCAAAAGCCCAUGGUGAAUUUAUAUGCCUUUAGAAUAUUGUGCCUGUUUUAAAAUGUUUGAGCUGUUAAAACACUUUGUUGAAACAUGAAUCCUUUUUUGUAAUUGUAUAAAUACUCAUAACUAAUUUUGAAUGCUACUGAUUGUGUAACUUAAUUUUUGUAUCCAAAAAUACAUUCUUGAGUACUACUUUUCCUACCUUGAAAAUCUAUUUCAUUUAAUAAAUACUGUUUUCUUUAUGCUAACUUAACUUUAAAAGGAAUGUUGCCAAGCUGUCUCUCCUGCCCAUCACAAUUUUGUUUUUGCUUUUUUUCUUCAAUAAAUGAUAGCAUUAUGAUCUUUAA